CUUUCUUUGCUGGCGACCGGCGCACGGGUGAGUAACACGUAUCCGACCUGCCCUUUACUCGGGGAUAGCCUUUCGAAAGAAAGAUUAAUACCCGAUAGUAUAAUGAUUCCGCAUGGUUUCAUUAUUAAAGGAUUCCGGUAAAGGAUGGGGAUGCGUUCCAUUAGGUUGUUGGUGAGGUAACGGCUCACCAAGCCUUCGAUGGAUAGGGGUUCUGAGAGGAAGGUCCCCCACAUUGGAACUGAGACACGGUCCAA
rnacentral:rRNA from 1 species